GUCCGAGCGCCGCCCAGCGCACAGCUACCCCGGAGGGGCGGCUCCUUGGCCAGGGAAGGAGGCGGGAUCUGCUUGCCAGCGGGCGUCUCCGCUUAGCGCUCUCUCCAGAAACCGCUGGGCAGUCUCCUGGGUGAGCGCCAGACGCCUGGGGUCCGUUUGCCGCCUGCUGAGACUAGACAAGGACCCCGGGAGGGCGACGUUGGGGGAGAGGGCUACGGAUGGAGGUCCCGCCGCGCUUGGGCCGGGUCCGGAGCCACCAGGACGCACAGCGGGUUUCCCUCAUUCUCAGUCAGGUGGUUGAGUUAUCCAAGCCUUCAUAACCAGAGGGUCUGAGCACUUGUUGGACUGUGCUUACUGCAGCUUCUCAUUUACAAUUACCACUGCACCUGAGAGUACCAAGAGAUUCCUGAGCCAGAGAUUACGAUUUCCAACUUCCAGCUCCUCAAGAUGGAGAAACAGAGGGAAGAAGAGACUUGGAAUCACUCUGUCCUGGCUGUGGGUCUAUGAAAAAGAAUGUGGCCUACUGCUAAAUACAUUGAUUUUGAAGCUAGAUAGCUCUGGUUUUGGGGAGCAAGUGAUUUGAUCUCUCAGAGACUCAGCUACUUCAUCAGUAAACAGAGAUUACCAUAUCCACCAGUAAUGGCUAUAGGAGCAGUAAUAGGGAUGAUAUAGGUGAAAGCACUGAUCACUGAAUGAUUCCAAAGACAGGUGCAGAGAGGUUCAGGCAUCAGACAGGCUACCUGGAUCCAAAUCCCAGCUCCAUCAUUUACUACUUUCAUGGCCUUUACAAACCACUAAACUUCUCUCUGAGCUUCAAUUUUCCCAUCUGUAACAUGGGAACUAAUAAAAUGAAACCUUCCUAAUAAAGUUGCCAGGAAGAUUCAUUGAGACAUUGAAUGUAAAGUAUUUAACUCAAUAUAGAGCACAGGGGAGCACCAAAUAAAAUUCAGGUGUUACAUUUUUAAGCACGUGUUCACCAAGGCUCCCAAUUCAGGUGGUGAGGAUUCUAUGAUGAUCAAUUCCUCCUAAGGUGGGCUGGAUAGCAAGUUUUGGAAGCACUGAACACCCACACGGAGCUGGCUCCUCUCAGGCGGGGAGGCAUCUUCACUAAGGAGAGGUGCAGUCUGUGUCCCCGUCCUUGACUCUGAGAAUCCCUGUGAUCAACAGAAUGCAGAAAAGUGACACUGCAUGGCUUCUGAGGCUAGGUCCAGAAAAGGUGAUGCAGCUUCCCCCUUUGCGCUGAAAUGCAGUGCUUGGACCUCAGAGCUAUUGACUAAGAAGUCCAUGCACCCUGAGCUUCUCAUGCUGGGGAAGCCACGUGUAGGCAUUCAGUUCCCAGCCCAGCUGAGCUCCAUCCUGGCUGCAACAAUUGUUCUCAUGAGGAAGCCAUCUUGGACACUCAGCUCCAUGGAGCCUCCACGAGUCGCCAGCCCCAACUGACAUCUGUCUCACUGCAACCACAGAAGAGCCUCCAACCAAGAACUGCACAGCUGAACCCUUUCUAAAUUCUUGAUCUCCAAAAAGCCAUGCACAAAAUAAAAUGGUUGUUUUGAGCCACUAAACUCUGGAACCUCGAGUAGGGGAGAAGUUCCUUUGGGUAGGUGUCAUUUUCCUAGGCUACCAUUCAUUUUCUCUUAUUUUGGUGAUAGCAGUCUGAUUUAUGUGUGUGGGUGGGUCGGGGGUAACCCUGAUCUUAAGUCAUGUAGUUCAGGUGCCUCCUGGAUGUGCCUGCCUAACCAUCAUAUCCCCACUACGGUACGGUGUUUGUAAAGAGUUGAGCAAAUAAUCCAGGACAGACCACUGAGAUUCUGCCUUGUGACUUUUGUUAAAAUUAGUGAGAAAAAGUCACUCUCGGGGCAGGCUGGAGUAAAGAGGGAUUGCUAAAUAGAUGCUAGGUAGGCCUGAAACUGCUGGGGGCCAAUUUAUUAUGAAGCAGGAAGAACCUAAUAAGGAAUAAAGUUACUCUGGAGGAAAGCCAAGCAAAGGAGGGUGAGAGACAGCUUCCUGAUGAGACUAAGCUUUGGACCCAGUUUUGCCUGGAACUUCGGCAGGCUGUUUUAGUUUCGUAAGUUAAUACGUACUCCUUUUUGAUUAAGCUAUUUCAGAGGUGUCACUUGCAUCUGAAAGAUUCCUAAUACAGACAGGUAAGAUCAGGUCAUGGAGGGCUUUGUGCCCUGUGAUGGUAAAGUUUUACUUUAUUCUGUAAAGAAUGAGAACUAUAUUUUAAUCAGGAGCAGGAUGAUGAGAUGUACACUUUAGCAAGACACCUGAAUGCACUGAGAAGGGAUAUUUUGGUGUUAGGAACAGGGAAAUGGACUAGGAGUAUAUAGUGUUAGUUUAGGACAUUAUGAUGCCAACUAAUAUAGCUGGUGGGAUUGGAUAUGCAAUUUGAGAAAUAUUUAAAUCAUGGAAUCAACACAAUUCAGACAGGUUGGGUGGUGUUGGGAUAAGGAAGAGAGAAGAAGCAAGGAUGACUUUUAGAUGGAUGGCUUAUAUACAAGCUGGACUAUGUAUCACUAAAGAGAAUAUUAGCUCCAGUUUAUGUCUGAUGACUCAGAAGUUAAACAACCUGCCCAAGGUUGUGUACCUAGUAAGAGCAGAACCAAUCAGGUCUUUAGGCUCCAAGACUUUCAUUCUUUGAAUUGUAUCAGGCCACUCACUGUGUUGAGGCCGCCAUGUGCACUGCAUUCCCAAGAAAUCAUAGCACAUGGGGCUGCUUGUUGUUCAGCACAUCAGGAGGAAGGCAAAAUUAUUAAUGCUUUCUUUUGGUCUCCUUGCUGUGUCUGACUUGCUACCAAACAAAACCUCUGCAGCAGGGCAUUUGUACUAUUCAGGUUUUCUUGGCUGACUUAUCAGCAUUUGUGAAAAGUACAGACGAUUUUGUUCCAGCCUUUCUGCAUUCUGACUUCAGAAGCUGAUUACAGAUGCAGAAACAUGAAGGGAGGUGAAAUCUAUUUCCCAAGAUGGACUAUGGAUUGGUUCUAAAGAUCAAAAGGGUGUGGCUUUUCAAUACAAACAACAAAGUCUGGGAGUUUUUGCACAGUGGAAGAGAAAGGCAAGUAGUAAGGGUGGCAAAGUGCUCAUUAGGAAGAAAAGUUAACAGGAAAACUUGGUUUAAAUCAAGGCAAGUAUGAAGAGAAGGUUAUCAACUUUAUGAAAAAGAGGACCAGAGAAGGCGAAGUGGCAAGCUGAGUGGCGAAUGCUGCUUAUCAUAUAUCCAGUUAAAAUUUCUUGGUCUCAUUCUUCACCAUUGUUAAAAUACUUUAACAUAUUUUAUAUACACUUAAAUAUCUGCUCCUUUCUAGUAAUAUAUUUUAUGUCUUUUACCAUCUUUGAGCCACAAUGAUCUCAACUGUGAAAUGGGAGCAGUAACAAAUUGCACCAUAAGAUUGUUGUGUUAAAUAAUGGCAUGAAUGUGCUUAGCCUGUUGCUUGUCACAUGGAAUCUGCACAGUUAAUGCUCAUAGCCUGUAACUCUUCCCAUCCUCUUCAGCAAGCUUUUAUUUAAUGACGCAGUUACGAAUGAGAAACUCCUGCAAGAAUGAUCAGUGUGCAUUGGAUAGAUGUUAAUUAGGUAGGACAGCCAGCAUUAUGUUCAUUUGAAGGGGAAAAAAACUGAGGUUUUCAGAGGUUAAGUAGCUUGCUGCAAAGUGCUUAGCUAUCAACAAAUAGGAGGUGGUUUUCUCCAGAGGGCCCCAGGUGAGAUGCACAGGUGUUACCCAGUGCAGACUUUUGGUCACCUUCACUUAACAUGGUGAUUGUUAUCAGAUGAGAAAGAAGACACCCUGGAAUUGAGAAAGUGCCAUACAAGAUGAGGCCAUUGCAAAGAGGAAAAAAGAGGCCCUGUGUGAGGCUAGGAAGACAGCACAACAAUGAGCCCAUGGCUUGCCAGGAAAGGAUCAGAAAUGGGAGGAGUGUUGUAGGCUAGUGGGACAUUCUCAAGCUUCAGAUCAGGUGAUUCUGUGCCCAAAUUAUCACUCCUCCAUGUAUUAUCUGUGUGACUUUGAACAAGGUUGUGUAACCUUUCUAAGCCUGUUUCUUCUUUUUUUUUGAUUUUUUUUUUUUGAGAUGAAGUCUCACUCUGUUGCCCAGGCUAGAGUGCAAUGGUGCGUAAUCUCGGCUCACUGCAACCUCUGCCUCCCAGGUUCAAGCAAUUCUCCUGCCUCAGCCUCCCUAGUAGCUGGGAUUACAGGCGAGCACCACCAUGCUCGACUAACUUUUGUAUUUUUAGUAGAGAUGGGUUUCACCAUGUUGGCCAGGGUGGUCUGGAACUCCUGACCUUGUGAUCCACCCGCCUCAACCUCCCAAAUUGCUGGGAUGGAUUACAGGCAUGAGUGGCCGUACCCAGCCUUGUUUCUUCAGUUCUAAAAUGGAUAUAAUAAUGUCUUAUUUAAUUAUCACUGUUAGUAUACAUUGACAUGUCUUGUAAAGUACCCAUCCAGUCCAAUUCCUUAGGAAAUGCUUAAUAAGUAAUAAUAAUUAUGAGCCUAAUUAUUGUUUUUAUUUUGGAGCAAGCCUUAGCUGAACAUUUUCCCUGUGGAAAAAGAUUGUUUGAAUGGGCAUUAACCAAUCUGGAGGGAUUUAUAACAUUUCAAAAAGACUGUUAUAAAACUAGGGAUAGUUUGCCAGAACUGAAAAUCAAUGCAUUUAAUGUUCAGCUGUUUUGAAUGAGGAGGUAGUGCAGGUAACAGACUCUUGGCAGCCCAUCCCCAUUCCUGUUUCAGUCCUGAACCCAGGCAUGGGCUUAAUGUGAGAGAUAGAAAUAGGGCAAUCGAUGACUGAGAUUCAGAAAUGGGGCAGAGCCGGAAAUGUCUGUUGUAAAUUAAUUAAUUUUAAAAAGUCAAUUAGUGAAGAUGUGUUUUUACAUUUUGAAGCCACUACUUCCCGACUUGUCUGGAAAGCCUGAGAUUAAGAAUCACACUUUGGAGGUAAGGGAAUACACUAGUCUGUUCUUGCCCUGCUAUAAAGAACUACCUGAGACUGGGUGAUUUAUAAAGAACAGAGGUUUAAUUGGCUCCUGGUUCCACAGGCUCUCUAGGAAGCGUGGUUGAGGAGGCUUCAGGAAACUUGCAAUCAUGCAGGCACACAUUGCAUGGCUAGAACAGGAGGAAGAGAGUGAAGGGGGAGGUGCUAUACACUUUCAAACAACCAGACCUCGUGAGAACUCACUAUUAUGAUAACAGCAAGGGAGGAAUUCACCCCCAAGAUCCAAUCACCUCCCACCAGGCCCCUCUUCCAACUUUGGGGAUUACAAUUUGACAUGAGACUUGAGUAGGGUCACAAAUCCAAACCAUAUCAUGGGACAAGUGAUUGAAGACUCAUCAUUCUGUUCUGAAUGAAUUUUAUGACCAACUUGCUGUGUAGAGGGAGACAUUUGCCAAAUUUCAUUCAUAAUGGGUUCUGCAUACAGAACAGCUCGGAUUCCAGUUAGCCAUUAUUAUUGUAUGAACUUGCAUGAGUCACUUAAAUAAUUUGUGACCCAAUGUACUCAUCUGUAAAAUGGAGAUGCUAAUGGUAACUUGUUUGUAGCCUUUUGUGAUGAUUAAAUAAGAUUACUUUGUAAAGUGCGUAGACUGGUGUUUGGCAUUGAAUAUAUGCUCACGAAACAUUAGUCACUUUUAAAAGUUACCAUCUCAGAAAGAGAACUGAGAUUUAGCUUAAGCCUUGUAAAACUCCCCGUUGAUAGUUGUGCUCAUCUGCUUUCUGCUUCCCUGAAAGACUUUUAAAACAAAAAGGUGUGAAUUGUGAAGACAUCUUGUUUUUAAGUCAGCAACCAGGUGGGGGGAAGCUGCUAUUAGCACACAGACUUUAGAAGCUAAGACCUCAUAGCAUGAGGAGUGG
rnacentral:lncRNA from 1 species